UAGCGACUCUGCGGUGAAGAAGUCCCGCCUCCUGCUGUGGUGAGGCGCUGUCAGCCGCUGUCCUGGAGCGGGAGCUCUUCGUUUGAGCUGGAGGAAUCCUGGCUCUGCCAGAUAGUAGCUGGGUGACCUGGCAAGUCACGUCCUACUUCGGUUUUCUCAUCUGCAAAGACAGUGCCCAGCUUUAGGUUUGUGAAGAUGGAGUGAAGCCAGGAGGAGAAGCACACACCACACCUUGCACUGGAUGAAAGGGCGUAAAAGCACAAAGAUGGGUAUUCGGGUCCGCACGAUGAAGUCGAGGAAGUCCCAAAGGGCCAGGCCUCCCACCUUCCGCAGAGCCAUCUCCUUCACCUGGAGGCUCAGCCAGUACCACUGGCUUCCAAGCUGCCUCUCAAAGCAGACGAGAAUCACCUUCAGUGCUUCACACCGGGAAAAGAGAAAAGAAGCAGAUUUCCCAAACUGUGUGUCAGGACAAACCAGAGUAUUCUGAAGACAUCAAAGAUUAUGAGAUAGCUUCCUCUGCCACUACAGCUUUUACCAUGGAGUCAGCCGUAGGGCAGUCAAGUGAACCUGGGCCUUCUUGAUCAUUCUUAAGGCCCAUCAAUCUCAGCAUCUAAAAAAAUAUGUAUACUAAACACAUGUUGAUUUUGAUUAGGAAAACACAAAAAUCUUUCUUAAGUGCAUUGAGUGACUAAAUGCACACAGAAAUCUAAUUCUCUAAAAUCCUCAAGAGUCACAUAUGCCUUUACCAUAUUUAGGAAAUCUCCAGGAGAGACUCAUGACAUGUAACACACAGAGAGAGAGACUGCAAGAUUCUUUCUUACCCAUCUUCCUCCUCAAGAUCUCACUUUUCACAGCAAUUGCUCAUCUCAAUUUUUUUCCCUCAACUAAACAAACAAACAACAACACUCCUCUUUCUCUACACUAAUUCUGAUGACAUUUCACUGUUACUAAAUGCCUGUUGUCUGCCUUUGGCUUUCUGCCAUUCUACUUUCCACCUAAACCUCCAUCAGCCCAACACACAGCAUAAAAGGGGUUCAAGAAGAGAGACUUGUUCUGGCUCUGUCAUGUAUUGACUAUAUGCCUUCAGGCAAGUUACUCAAGCUUUCUGGGCCCCAGCCUCUUCACUCCUAAAAUGAGAAUCAUACUAACUUCUUGGAGUUAUUGUAAGGAUGAGAGGAUUCAACGCGGUGAUAAUGUAAAGCAUAGAAAACUGCUUGGUGCACACUAAGUGCUCAAAAUAAAUGUAAAAACAAAUUUAAAAUACAGGUUCUGUAGCCUGGCUAUAUAAGCAAAGUAGAAACAGCUCUUCACUAAGACGUCAGAUAGUGGAGAGGACAGAAACUCAUCAAGUGUCUUCUCAUAUCCUUCCUGUAUAUGGUAAGCCCCUUUUCUCCAUCAUACUCUGCAAUCCUUCAUGUAGGGGUCUAUGCCAAAGCCUGGAUUUGAAUGCUAUUUUUAUAUACCUUGGCCAACUGAGCAUCCAUAUGGGUUGGUCCUGGGUACAUUCAUUCCUUGUGUUUUUUUCUCCUUUUUCAUUUUCAUUGUCAAUCCCCUCAUUUUCAAACA